rnacentral:rRNA from 1 species
UACGUAGGGACCAAGCGUUGUUCGGAUUUACUGGGCGUAAAGGGCGCGUAGGCGGCAAUUCAAGUCAGCUGUGAAAUCUCCGGGCUUAACUCGGAACGGUCAGCUGAUACUGCUUCGCUAGAGUGCAGAAGGGGCAAUCGGAAUUCUUGGUGUAGCGGUGAAAUGCGUAGAUAUCAAGAGGAACACCUGAGGUGAAGACGGGUUGCUGGGCUGACACUGACGCUGAGUGCGCGAAAGCUAGGGUAGCAAACGGG